GGAGGGCUUACAUGCAGUCGAACGGGGUACCCUUGACAGAGGCUUCGGCCAAUUGAUAGGAAUACCUAGUGGCGGACGGGUGAGUAACGCGUGAGGAACCUGCCUUGGAGUGGGGAAUAACAGUUAGAAAUAGCUGCUAAUACCGCAUAAUGCAACUAAGUCGCAUGGCUUUGGUUGCCAAAGAUUUAUCGCUCUAAGAUGGCCUCGCGUCUGAUUAGAUAGUUGGCGGGGUAACGGCCCACCAAGUCGACGAUCAGUAGCCGGACUGAGAGGUUGGCCGGCCACAUUGGGACUGAGACACGGCCCAGACUCCUACGGGAGGCAGCAGUGGGGAAUAUUGGGCAAUGGGCGCAAGCCUGACCCAGCAACGCCGCGUGAAGGAAGAAGGCCCUCGGGUUGUAAACUUCUUUUAUUCGGGACGAAACAAAUGACGGUACCGAAUGAAUAAGCCACGGCUAACUACGUGCCAGCAGCCGCGGUAAUACGUAGGUGGCAAGCGUUAUCCGGAUUUACUGGGUGUAAAGGGCGCGUAGGCGGAUGUGCAAGUCAGUCGUGAAAUACCGGGGCUCAACCCCGGGGCUGCGAUUGAAACUGCACACCUUGAGUAUCGGAGAGGAAAGCGGAAUUCCUAGUGUAGCGGUGAAAUGCGUAGAUAUUAGGAGGAACACCAGUGGCGAAGGCGGCUUUCUGGACGACAACUGACGCUGAGGCGCGAAAGUGUGGGGAGCAAACAGGAUUAGAUACCCUGGU
rnacentral:rRNA from 1 species